CCUACGGGAGGCAGCAGUAGGGAAUCUUCCACAAUGGGCGAAAGCCUGAUGGAGCAACGCCGCGUGGGUGAAGAAGGUCUUCGGAUCGUAAAACCCUGUUGUUAGAGAAGAAAGUGCGUGAGAGUAACUGUUCACGUUUCGACGGUAUCUAACCAGAAAGCCACGGCUAACUACGUGCCAGCAGCCGCGGUAAUACGUAGGUGGCAAGCGUUAUCCGGAUUGAUUGGGCGUAAAGGGAACGCAGGCGGUCCUUUAAGUCUGAUGUGAAAGCCUUCGGCUUAACCGGAGUAGUGCAUUGGAAACUGGGAGACUUGAGUGCAGAAGAGGAGAGUGGAACUCCAUGUGUAGCGGUGAAAUGCGUAGAUAUAUGGAAGAACACCAGUGGCGAAAGCGGCUCUCUGGUCUGUAACUGACGCUGAGGUUCGAAAGCGUGGGUAGCAAACAGGAUUAGAUACCCCUGUAGUC
rnacentral:rRNA from 1 species